CGAAGGCCUGGAUCCAAAGCCGGCUUGCUUGCUUGCUUGCUCACGAAAGUUUCCCAAGUUCACCUUUGCACGGGGAAAGCAGGAAAUGGCUUCCCAUCCUGGCCCGGUCAGGCUAGCUGUUAGCAUGCCUGGCUCUCCAGAGUCGGGGUUCAGGGGCGGAGCUAAGGUAAGUGGCCACGGGAGCGGCACUCCCUCGCCACCCUCACAUCAACAGGCACAUUUUCCAAACUGUGAGCGCUGCCAUUUUUCACACGUCCUCUGUUGCCGCACCAUGUGCACGUGGCCGACCCUCAGCUUGACCAGGCGUCGGUCCGGCCGCCCCGUCCAAACAUUUCUGGCUACGCCCCCACUCUGCUUCCAAAGACACGCGACCCUGACGGAGUGGACACGUGCUCGCUGACUGGAUUGCCGACCAGUCCAUUGGUUGUCCACGUGUAGCCUGACCUUGACUGUGACCUGUGUCAUGGUUUGCCGUAGUUGCAAAUGUGUGUGUGUUUGAGCGGGCGUUGCAAGUUAUUUGCAGCACCGCCAGACAGGAAGCGGAGGACAAAGAAGGAGCAGGAAAGGCGGAGCUCCCGUCCCGCAGUGGUCGCGGCGCUAGCGGAAAACGGCGGCAGAAGCGGCCCGACGAGCAUGCCUGACGGCUACCUUCAAAAUGGGGGCGCCACGCAUCGCUGUUGUCGUGUGGAUGCUGCAGGUUCUGAUUGGCUCAGCCGGGACAGACGAGACGCGGCACGCUUGUCGCCCGUCCGUCAUGGACGUGAUGUCCGGUUGGGAUGGGGUGCGGCUAACGGUUAGCGCGCCAGGGCGCAACUGCUCCCUGGCCGUGCGGCGUGCGGACGCCGCCGAAGACAUCCGUUGCGCCCGAAGAAGCCGCGAAGAAGGACGAGCCGAUGCGGAGGCCAACGUGACGGCGAGUGCGUGGCCGGCGGGUGCCGUCGUCUUCACCUGCGACUUGCGGCACAUGGAACCGGGAAGCGCCUACCUGCUGCAGGUCCACGCUGGCGGCGCCACGGCGGAAGUGGCCAACGUCAGCGUGCGCACCUGCCCUUCGGCCCCAUCAGGCCUGAGCGUGACUUCCAGGCGGAGCGACAGCCUGGGACUUUCCUGGCAGGCGGGCCCAGGCCGGACUCAGCGUUUCAGGCUGCUCGUGUGGGAGCAUUCUGUGCUCCCGCUGCUGAACGAGACGCUGGAGAGCACCGCCACCUGGCGCGCCGUCGGCGAGCUCACGCCGGGCAGGCGCUACAACAUUACCCUGGCGACGGAGGCCGGCGGACUGCGCAACCACUCCAGCAUCCGCACGCAAACAGCGCCGGCCGCCGUGGCCGACCUGACGGCCGAAGCCGACGGCGCCUCUUUGCGCUUGUCGUGGCGAGGGCCGGCGGGCGAGGCGGACGCUCUGGUGGUGUCGCUGCGUUCGAACGACUCCGCCCCGCGACAGACGAUUCUGCGGCCCGACGCCGGCGGGGUGGCGGUGGCCGGGCUGACGCCCGGCUCAGCCUAUCGCGUGACGGUGAGCACCCGCAGCGGCGAGCUCAUCAACUCGUCGGAGAUCGACACUCGCACAGCGCCGGCGCCGGUGUCGCUCCUGGCAUUGACGCCUUCCGCCCUGGGGGGUCUCCUCUUGUCAUGGGCGCCCCCCGCCGGGCACUGGGAUGGCUACGGGCUCAUCCUCCGUGACGGCUCGCGGGAAGUAGUCGCCGCCGUCGACCUGCCCAAGGAGGCCGUCGACUUCACCUUCCCCGGGACCGGACUGCUUCCCGGACGGCGCUACCGAGCCACGCUGGCCGUCAAAAGUGGACGGCUGGCCGCAGAAAGCAGCUGUGACGGAAACAUGCUUCCGGCGCCCGCGUACGACCUCCACAUCCGGCACGCCGACGAAACGUCCUUGAGCGCCAUGUGGAGCCACGCCCCCUCCGGGUGGCGGGAUGCUUACUUCCUGACCCUGGUCCACGGUGACGUCACUGUGGACACCAGGGCGCUGGAGGCUCACGUGAGGGAGUGCACCUUUAACGUCCUCACGCCCGGGAGAAUUUACAACAUCACUGUGACGGCCAGGAGCGGAAACCUCAACGCGUCUGUCUUUGUGGAGGGGCGGACAGUUCCUAUGGCGUUGAGCGCCAUGACACUGCGCAGCGUGGCCGUGGACAGCCUGCAGGCGUCCUGGGAAAAACCACGCGGGGACGUCGACUCGUACCAGCUGGCGCUACUCCAGGACAGUGUUGUCGUCCAGAACCACAGCGUUGCGCUUCCAGUUGGCCCCGCCUCCUUGUUGCUUUGCGGUCUCACGCCCGGCGCCCUGUACAGGCUGGAGGCUGUGGCGGUCAGCGCUGGCGUGCGCUCCAAAGUCACAAGUCUGGAGGGACGGACAACUCCGGCGUCCGUGAGCGAGGUCACGGCGGUGAACGGCGGGCGUGCGGAUACGCUGCGCGUGUCCUGGCAGCCGGCGCUCGGCGCGCUUGACAGUUACCUGGUCCGCCUCGAGGACGGCGCGGGAACAGAGCUUCACUCUCAGGCCGUGUCGCGCCACUCGCCGCCCGAGUGCUCCUUUGGCUCCCUGACGGCCGGACGCAUGUACGCUGUCGUCAUUGUGACCAGGAGCGGCGGCCUGGAGAACGCCACCCGGGUUCACGCACGCACACAACCCGCCCCGGCGCUCAACCCCACGGCCGUCCACUCGGCAAAGGACGGCUUCCUCAAGGUGUACUGGCGACCCGCGUCGGGCGACGUGAGCGCGUACGUGGUGGCGCUGUGGUACAACGGCAGCGUGGCCCAGCAGCAGAGCGUGGCGCCCGCGCGCAGCGACUGCGUCUUUGGCUCGCUCACGCCCGGCCGCCUUUACACCGUCACCGUAGCCACGUGGAGCGGAGACCUCGUCAGCAGCGCCGCCACAGACGGACGCACCUUGCCAGCCUGCGUGUCCAAUCUGUCACUGAGCAAUGCAGGAUCAGGUGAGCUGACCGUCACCUGGAGCCCCGCCCCCGGAGAUGUGGAUCACUACGAGAUCACACUGCUGUUCAACGACACGCGCGUCUUUCCGCCACUCACGUUGGACAGCGACGCGCGACGCCACCGAUUCACGUCGCUGACGGCGGGACGCCUCUACAAGACGGUGGUGUCCGCUGUCAGCGGGCCCAACCAGAGGGCGCUCUUCGUCCAGGGACGCACAGUCCCUGCCGCCGUGACGGACCUCCGCCUGACGCCACGGCGCCCCCCCGCGGACGGAGGACUGACGGCCAGGUGGACGGCGGCGCUCGGAGACGUGGACGUGUACGUCGUGUCGCUGUCGGCGGCCGCCGCCGCGCGGGGCGAUGUGGCGGAGUCUCGGCUCGUCCCCGAACACGUCUCGUCUCUGGACUUCUUGGAUCUGAUCCCGGGCCAGGCCUAUAAUAUCACCGUACAAUCGCGAAGCGGGGAGCUGACCAAUAGCAAGGCGGCGUCCGGCCGCACGGCCCCGGCGCCCGUGAGCGGGCUGCAGGCGGACAAGGAGCACACGCCGCACGGCCUGACGGUCACGUGGGAGCGGCCGGCGGGACGCUACGACUCCUUCAGGCUGCUGCUCGCCGCCGACGGCGCCACGCUGGCCGACCUGACGCUGCCGGCCGCCGCCCGCUCGCAUCGCCUGGACGGGCUGAUGGCCGGGAGGUGGUACGGCGUGACCGUGCUCACGCUCAGCGGGGGCGUGGCCUCCGCCCCAGUCACGGCCGAAGGGCAAACACGUCCCGCCGCCGUGAGCAACUUAACAGUGACGUCUGCCAACUCUUCGUCCCUGGGCUUCUCGUGGCGCCACACGGAAGGGCACGUCGACGUCUACGAGGCGUCGCUUUUCGCUCGGGCUGACGAAGAGCGGGAAACGGUCGGCGGGAAGCAGCAGGUUUGGGGCGAGCCGGCGGGCGUGCAGAAGGUGUCGCCGGGCGUGGACGCGUGCCUUUUCACGGGCCUGCAGGCGGGAAGUCUGCACCGGCUGCAGGUGGUCAGCUGGAGUCGACACCUGAGCAGCGACUCGGCCGUCGUCGCCAGAACCGCACCCUCUCCCGUCCGCGGCCUGCGGCUGGACAGUUCUGGGGAGACGGACAAACUGGCAAGCAGCUGGAGCCACGGCGACGGCCGGCGGAGCGCCUACCAGGUGACCUUGACGGAGGCGUCGGGCGCCGUGGCGGGAGCCCGGCUGCUGGGGCCGGAGCGGAGCGCUCACGUGUUUGCGGGGCUGCUUCCCGGGAGACUCUACCGCCUUGACGUGGUCACGCGCAGCGGCGAGAUGAGCAGCAAGGCCUCGGCGCUCGCACGUACCGCUCCAGCCCCGCCCACCCGGCUGGCGAUCGAGCAAGGCCCGGACAACGAGACGCUGGAGCUGGCGUGGGCCGGCCCCGCCUCCGGUGACUACGACAGCUUCGCCGUGGCGUGGACGCCCCCAGACCGCUUGGCGGUAGCUGGCUCGGGCCCGACCGCUCGUCUGCUGGCCGGCGCCUUUCCGGGCCGACGCUACGACUUCACCGUGGCCACCGUGAGCGGGGCGGCGGGCGGGCCAGUGGCCACCAGCCGGCCGAUCCGGACCACCGUCACGACAAGGCCGUCCCCUCUGCGCUCCCUCCGCUGCGUCCCCGUGUCGUCGUCGUCCGUGUCCUGCCGGUGGUCUCCCCCUGUGUCCGACUUGGACUCGUUCGAGGUGGAGUGUCGUCGCCACGACGACGGGGAGUUGACAUCGGCCGUGCGUCUGGGGGCCGCCGUCACGGCGGUCACCCUGGACCGAUUGGACGCCUUUAGGAAGUACGCGGUCACCGUGAGGGCGGCGUCGCACGGACGCACCGGCGCGCCCAGCACACGCACGGCCGUCACCAUGAUCGACCGUCCCCCGGCCCCGCCCCCCAGCGUGAGGGUGAGCGCGGCGCAGGUGACGUGGUCGUCAGUCUUGUUUCGCUUCAACUGCUCGUGGUUCAGCGACGUCAACGGCGCCGUCAGAUACUUUGCCGUCAUCGUGGCUCAGUCGGACGCCCACGAGGUCCUGCUGCCCGAGCAGCGCCACCCACUGCCCUCCUACAGCCAUUAUGUCAACAACGCCUCGGUCAGGGCCUACCAGAGCGCCUACUUCCUCAACAGAUGCCCACGAGAUGCCAGCACGACAGCCGGCCAGUCGGUGGAGGUCAACUUGGGGGCGGGAGGCGACCGACUGGGCGGGCCCUGUGAUCGUUCCCGUGACAACUCCUACUUGGGCGAGAGCUUUGGAGACUUCUGCGACGGCCCGCUCAAGCAGAGAACUUCUUACAGACUCAGCGUGCGAGCGUUCACGCGACUGUUUGACGAAAACGGCAGAGAGUUUCCUCAGCCGCUCUUCAGCGACACCUACCUGUCCGCCCCGCUCAGGACGCACGCAGAGCCACUAGGGGGCGCGGUGGAGGGAGCCAGCACCUGCACGUUCGCAUUAGGCGUGAUGGUGACCCUGGCGUCCCUGCUGCUGUACCGCCGGCGAGUGAGGAAAGUUGCGGCGGCGCAGGAGAACCCGCUGGUCAGGAUCAAUCUGUGGAAGGCGCCGCGUAGCACCGCCACGUACUUGGGCGUCAAGAGCAGCGCUCGUCGCGUCUCCAGUCCGGUGAAAGCCGCUCACUUUGAGUCUCACCUGUCGAAGCUCCAAGCGGACGCCGGCGUUCUCAUGUCGGAGGAGUUUGAGGAGCUGAAGGAGGCGGGUCGCAGUCAGCCGGCGGAGGCGGCGCGCCUGCCCGACAACCGCGCCAAGAACCGCUACAACAACAUCUUGCCGUAUGAUUCCACACGCGUCAAGCUGUCAUGUCUGGACGACGACUCGUGCUCCGACUAUAUUAACGCCAGCUACGUGCCGGGUUCCAACUUCCGUCGCGAGUACGUGGCCACGCAAGGCCCGCUGCCCGCCACCAAGGACGACUUCUGGAGGAUGCUGUGGGAACACGGCGUGCGUGUCGUCGUCAUGGUGACGCAGUGCGUGGAGAAGGGACGGGUCAAGUGCGAGCGCUACUGGCCUUGCUAUGAUGAGACGGCGUACUACGGCGAGCUGCUGGUCCAGAUGACGUCAGAGUCGGUUCUUCCCGAGUGGACGGUCCGCGACUUCCGCAUUUCCCCGGAGAGAGGCGGAGCCCCCCGCGCCGUCCGCCACUUCCACUUCACCGUGUGGCCCGACCACGGCGUCCCCGAGGGCACGCAUGCCCUCGUCCACUUUGUCAGGACCGUGCGAGAGUUUGCGGACCGCUCGGCCACCCCCGGGCCCACCGUGGUCCACUCGCCGGCGUGGGCCGCACGGGGACCUUCAUUGCGCUGGACCGCCUGCUGCAGGAGCUGGACGCCGAAAGCGGCGUGGACGUGUACGGCUGCGUCUUUGACCUGCGCCUCCACCGCCAGCACAUGGUCCAGACGGAGUGCCAGUACGCCCUCCUGCAUCAAUGCGUGCGCGAUGUGCUGAGAGCACGCAAACAUCAGAGCGACUACGCCAUCUAUGAAAACUUUGACCCAGACUUGUGCCGCCGCGAGCUGAUCUGCUCGGGCCGCUGACGCAAGGAAGCGCCGUGGCUAUGAUGGAAGCGAAUGAAUGCAUUUACUUUUACAUUUGAAAAGGAUGUCAAUAUGAUGAGUAAUCCAUAGCAGGAAGUAUAACACUUUUUACUGUCAGCAUUUACAAGCAAACUUGUCUAUCUAUAGGUUGUAUCCGUUGCACUUUAGCUGAGCCAGCAAAUAAAGAGAGCUAGCAACAA